rnacentral:rRNA from 1 species
ACGGCUGCACAGGAGAGCUUGCUCUCUGGGUGGCGAGUGGCGGACGGGUGAGGAAUACAUCGGAAUCUACUUUUUCGUCCCGGAUAACGUAGGGAAACUUACGCUAAUACCGCAUACGACCUACGGGUGAAAGCAGGGGAUCUUCGGACGAUGCGCGAUUGAAUGAGCCGAUGUCGGAUUAGCUAGUUGGCGGGGUAAAGGCCCACCAAGGCGACGAUCCGUAGGUGGUCUGAGAGGAUGAUCAGCCACACUGGAACUGAGUCACGGUCCAGACUCCAACGGGAGGCAGCAGUGGGGAAUAUUGGACAAUGGGCGCAAGCCUGAUCGAGCCUUUCCCCGUGGGUGAAGAAGGCCUUCGGGUUGUAAAGCCCUUUUGUUGGGAAAGAAAUCCAGCUGGCUAAUACCCGGUUGGGAUGACGGUUCCCAAAGAAUAAGCACCCCCUAACUUCGUGCCAGCAGCCGCGGUAAUACGAAGGGUGCAAGCGUUACUCGGAAUUACUAGGCGUAAAGCGUGCGUAGGUGGUCGUAUAAGUCCGUUGUAGAAAGCCGCUUUGGGGCGCGCUUCACAAUACCCUCGGCAACAUGCAAGUCGGCAAAUCUUGCGCGAUCUAAGAAGCUGUUGGUAGUAGGGGGGAGGCGGGAAUUUCCUGGUGUAGGCAGUGAAAUGCGUAGAGAUCAGGGAGGGAACAUCCAUGGCGUAGGCACGCUACCCUGGACCAACAAUUGACACUGAGGCACGAAAGCGUGGGGGAGCAAACAGGAUUAGAUACCCUGGUAGUCCACGCCCUUAAACGAUGCGAACUGGAUGUUGGGUGCAAUUUGGGCACGCAGUAUCGAAAGCUAAACGCGUUAAAGUUUCGCCCGCCCUGGGAGAAGUACGGGUCGACAAGUCUGAAAACUUCAAAGGAAUUGACGUGGGGGGCCCCGGCCAACAAAGUCGGUGGAGUAUGUGGUUUAAUUUGAUACAACGCGAAGAUCCUUACGUGGCCUUGACAUGUCGAGAACUUUCCAGAGAUGGAUUGGUGCCUUCGGGAACUCGAACACAGGUGCUGCAUCGCUGUCGUCAGCUCGUGUCGUGAGAUGUUGGGUUAAGUCCCGCAACGAGCGCAUCCCUUGUUCUUAGUUGCCAGCACGUAAUGGUGGGAACUUUAAGGAGACCGCCGGUGACAAACCGGAGGAAGGUGGGGAUGACGUCAAGUCAUCAUGGCCCUUACGGCCAGGGCUACACACGUACUACAAUGGUAGGGACAGUGGGGUGCAAGCCGGCGACGGUAAGCCAAUCCCAGAAACCCUAUUUCAGUU